rnacentral:rRNA from 1 species
CACUGCCGAGAAAAGCCUCUAGCUAGAAUAACGGUGCCCGUACCGCAAACCGACACAGGUAGUCAAGAUGAGAAUUCUAAGGUGAGCGAGCGAACUCUCGUUAAGGAACUCGGCAAAAUGACCCCGUAACUUCGGGAGAAGGGGUGCUCUUUGAGGUUCACGCUUCGAAGAGCCGCAGUGAAUAGGCCCAAGCGACUGUUUAUCAAAAACACAGGUCUCUGCUAAACCGUAAGGUGACGUAUAGGGGCUGACGCCUGCCCGGUGCUGGAAGGUUAAGAGGAGUGGUUAGCGCAAGCGAAGCUACGAAUCGAAGCCCCAGUAAACGGCGGCCGUAACUAUAACGGUCCUAAGGUAGCGAAAUUCCUUGUCGGGUAAGUUCCGACCCGCACGAAAGGCGUAACGAUUUGGGCACUGUCUCAACGAGAGACUCGGUGAAAUCAUAGUACCGGUGAAGAUGCCGGUUACCCGCGACAGGACGGAAAGACCCCGUGGAGCUUUACUGUAGCCUGAUAUUGAAAUUCGGUACAGUUUGUACAGGAUAGGUAGGAGCCUUAGAAGCGUGAGCGCUAGCUUACGUGGAGGCAUUGGUGGGAUACUACCCUAAUUGUAUUGGAUUUCUAACCCGCAGCACUUAUCGUGCUGGGAGACAGUGUCAGGCGGGCAGUUUGACUGGGGCGGUCGCCUCCUAAAGAGUAACGGAGGCGCUCAAAGGUUCCCUCAGAAUGGUUGGAAAUCAUUCAUAGAGUGUAA